UUUGAUUUAUGCCUACUCACAUAUACUUGGUGCAUGCACGUUCCUUAGAGUAGGGGAGAUAGGAAGACACACGUGUAAAUUUCCACCUCAGUUUGGAAACAGAUACUGCAAUCUCAGAAAAUCUUGCCAUAAGAAGAGCCCAGCCAAUAGUUUGACUGCGAUUUCAUGGGAGACCUCAAGGCAGAGUAAUCCAGAAUACCACAGUCUUGAGGCUAUGAAGUCCAUGAUUAAGAAGACAGCACGUUUGCUUUCUGGUUCCAAGAUGGCACACCUUGUUGCUGCUUCCUCCAGAGAGGAGGAACACUGUGUCCUCACAUGGUAGAAGGUGGAAGGAGCAGAUGCAGAUGAGCAUGGCAAUGUGAGAAUAUGUCAGAGGCCCCAAGAUGAAAUGAGCUCAAGUCCCUGAAAUCCCUGUUAGAAGAGUCUGUCCACUGGUUGAGAAUGCUAAUUGUAUUUUGACAAAUCAACGUUGCAGCAACUCAGAAUGUUACAGCUUCUGCAUUGGAAUAA
rnacentral:lncRNA from 1 species